AGUUUGAUCCGUGGCUCAAGAACGAACGCUGGCGGCAUGCCUAACACAUGCAAGUCGAACGAGACCUUCGGGUCUAGUGGCGCACGGGUGCGUAACACGUGGGAAUUUGCCUCGGGGUAUGGAAUAACUCAGGGAAACUUGAGCUAAUACCAUAUAAUGUCUUCGGACCAAAGAUUUAUCGCCCUGAGAUAAGCCCGCGUAGGAUUAGCUAGUUGGUGGGGUAAAGGCUCACCAAGGCGACGAUCCUUAGCUGGUCUGAGAGGAUGAUCAGCCACACUGGGACUGAGACACGGCCCAGACUCCUACGGGAGGCAGCAGUGGGGAAUAUUGGACAAUGGGCGAAAGCCUGAUCCAGCAAUGCCGCGUGAGUGAUGAAGGCCUUCGGGUUGUAAAGCUCUUUUACUCGGGACGAUAAUGACGGUACCGAGAGAAUAAGCCCCGGCUAACUCCGUG
rnacentral:rRNA from 1 species